UACUGAUUCAAUAAGUUUUCUCUUUUUCUUUUAUAAAGCUGAUAAAGUUUAUUCCUUUUUCUAUAUAUCAUAACAGCACAUAGAUUAUCAUCAAACUCUGGCACUACCAGCUCACACAUGGUUGUUCUUUCACUGUCACAGUCACCACACUCUACUGUAUGCCUUCUCUUCUCUUUUUUUUUCUUCAUUUGGUAAAGUGAACACAUUCAAAGUUCUCCAACAGAAUUCUCUCAUCAUAGGUCCCUCCUUACUCGUUCAUUCAUUCUACUACACUUACAAAUAUGGUUGAUCCAGAUUCGUACAAGAAAAUUCAUAUCGAGUCCUUACGGGAAAUUUAAAGGCAGUUUAAUGAACUCCAGAGGGAUUUGACAAACUUCGGAGCAAGGCUGAUGAGGGCCCUGCCGCUGCCGAAUGAAAAUUGUCCGGUUGACAAUAAUAAUAAUAUUAAUAAUAAUAAUAAUAAUAAAUAAUAGUAAUAAUAAUUAGGUUAUGUUUUUUUUUAUUUUAGCGUGUGGAUGUAUUUCCUCCUUUUGUAUAUCAGAUCUACCCAAGAGAUCCAAAAAUCUUUGUUUGGUGGUCGACUUUGAAUUUUUAAUUCUUAUUUAGUAUUUAACUAUCAUUCUAUUUAUUCAUUAUUCUCAACAUGUUGACGGAGGUUAAUCUGAUAUGACAGAUCGAUCAUAUAUUGUAAUAGGCGGUUAUUAAUAAAAAAGGAUUAUUGUUAUUGA